rnacentral:pre_miRNA from 1 species
UCAUAUGGAUGAGCAAAGAAAGUGGUUCCUUGCGAUGGAAUCUACUUCUUGUGACGAUGCUCAGAA